CGAAUGGCUCAUUAAAUCAGUUAUCGUUUAUUUGAUAGUACCUUACUACUUGGAUAACCGUGGUAAUUCUAGAGCUAAUACAUGCUAAAAACCCCGACUUCGGAAGGGGUGUAUUUAUUAGAUAAAAAACCAAUGCCCUUCGGGGCUCUUUGGUGAUUCAUGAUAACUUCUCAGAUCGCAUGGCCUUGCGCCGGCGACGGUUCAUUCAAAUUUCUGCCCUAUCAACUUUCGAUGGUAAGGUAUUGGCUUACCAUGGUUUCAACGGGUAACGGGGAAUUAGGGUUCGAUUCCGGAGAGGGAGCCUGAGAAACGGCUACCACAUCCAAGGAAGGCAGCAGGCGCGCAAAUUACCCAAUCCCGACACGGGGAGGUAGUGACAAUAAAUACUGAUACAGGGCUCUUUUGGGUCUUGUAAUUGGAAUGAGUACAAUUUAAACCUCUUAACGAGGAACAAUUGGAGGGCAAGUCUGGUGCCAGCAGCCGCGGUAAUUCCAGCUCCAAUAGCGUAUAUUAAAGUUGUUGCAGUUAAAAAGCUCGUAGUUGAACCUUGGGCCUGGCUGGCAGGUCCGCCUCACCGCGUGUACUUGACCGGCCGGGCCUUCUCUUCUGGAGAACCUCAUGCCCUUUACUGGGCGUGUUGGGGACCAGGACUUUUACUUUGAAAAAAUUAGAGUGUUCAAAGCAGGCCUUUGCUCGAAUAUGUUAGCAUGGAAUAAUGGAAUAGGACGUGCGGUCCUAUUUUGUUGGUUUCUAGGACCGCCGUAAUGAUUAAUAGGGACAGUCGGGGGCAUCAGUAUUCAAUUGUCAGAGGUGAAAUUCUUGGAUUUAUUGAAGACUAACUACUGCGAAAGCAUUUGCCAAGGAUGUUUUCAUUAAUCAGUGAACGAAAGUUAGGGGAUCGAAGACGAUCAGAUACCGUCGUAGUCUUAACCAUAAACUAUGCCGACUAGGGAUCGGGCGAUGUUUCAAUAUUGACUCGCUCGGCACCUUACGAGAAAUCAAA
rnacentral:rRNA from 1 species